UUCCUCUACCUACUUCUCCUUCUCGGAUGCAGGCACGGUUCCUGAAUUCUCGAGUACACUCAGGAGCGGAAGACGCAUAAGACUGCGGCUCACUACAGGGCGGAGGCAGCGACUGGGGCGGGCGCUGCGGCUGCUCUGGCUGGACCGACCGGUGUAGUAUUGGGUGAUGUCCCGUUCCCACCAAGCAUGGAGGUGGUGCUGGACCCUGGUCUAGGCUUAGGGUCGGGCAUCAUUCCUGCUGAUCUUCGGCAGGCCCCUCCUCCGGUGCAGCUGGAUCCUGAGCACACUACACAUGUGCCGGCCCAGAGGUAUCAGGAGAUCUGCCAGCGGUUUGGGUUUGCCCGAUCCUACAUCGG